UGGGGAAUUUUGCACAAUGGGGGAAACCCUGAUGCAGCGACGCCGCGUGAUUUAGAAGGCCUUCGGGUUGUAAAAAUCUUUUUUACGGGAUGAAAAUGACAGUACCGUAAGAAUAAGGUCCGGCUAAAUACGUGCCAGCAGCCGCGGUAAUACGUAUGGACCGAGCGUUGUCCGGAAUCAUUGGGCGUAAAGGGUACGUAGGCGGCCGAAUAAGUUAGAGGUGAAAGAAUAUCGCUCAACUAUAUAAAGCUUUUAAAACUGUUAGGCUUGAGAGAUGAAAGGGAAAGUGGAAUUCCUAGUGUAGCGGUGAAAUGCGCAGAUAUUAGGAAGAAUACCGGUGACGAAGGCGACUUUCUGGUCAUCAUCUGACGCUGAGGUACGAAAGCGUGGGUAGCAAACAGG
rnacentral:rRNA from 1 species